CCGCGCAACCUAACCCCGCGGCUCCCGGCGCCGAUUGGACGCCUCGCCGGUGACGCAGGCAGAAGGGGCGGGGCCGUAGCCAGAGCGACGCGUGGCGUCGGCGGCGCCUGUUUGGGGAGAGCAUCUCGGGAGAUGUAGUCGCCCACAAGGAAGGCGGGGCUCCCCAAAGUGAGAAGGGAAGUUGCCAGAAGCUGGAGCUAACAGCGGGUGCUCACUCCACUCCCCGGGUUUGAACCUGUGACCUUUCAAUCUGAGCCGAGUUACAGUUCAAGAUAAGCUAAAAUAAAGAAAGCGCUCUGGAUAGAAGAUUCAGUUUGGCUGCUGGAGCACUAAAUACUAAUAUAAUAAUAAAUAUUAAAACUUUAUUUAUAUACCGCCCUAUCUCCUCAAGGGACUCAGAGUGGUUUCCAGCAUACCGGGAAAUAUACAGUCAAUUUAAAACAUACAACAUUUAAAACAUUAUACACAUAUCCAAGAAUACUUCAAACCGAUAAUCAUAAAACACAUAACCCAUGUUAAAACCUAAUGAUAGGGCUCCCAUCAAUGUCCUCAGCAAGUGAGAGUCCAAAAGUGGCAGGUGAAAACCUGGAACCUCAAUCCAUGGCUGAUACCAAAUGAGAGACUCCCCCAUGGCACACAGAAGACCGAGUGACUAGGAAGGUGUUGAACAGACACCUGGUGACACAAGAUGCAGACCCAACCUUAAGAAAUGUGGCCACAAAGUGAAAUCCACGAUAUGCGAGUGUGGAGAAGAGCAAACCACAGACCACCUAUUACAAUGGAGUCUGAGCCCUGCCACAUGCAACACCAGAGGCACUCCAAGUGGCCAGCUACCGGUCAAAGGACAUUUAGUAUAAUGCCAAAUUUUUAAACUUUGUAAUUUUAAAUACUGUACAUUAAAACUGUACCCUCAGUUUGCUUCUAAUAUA